CAAACUUUACUUGAGAACCUCAGAGAUGAGAGUUGCUUUAGAAGCCUUCCUAGAGAAGGAAUAUGGAGAAGGCACCUGUAGCCCUGUGAGAUCAGUUAUCUGUUUAUAUUUAAAUGAAUCAUUAGGUCCAGCCAUGGAAGUGGAUUUAAUGAAAUACUGUCGACCAAUGAAUGAAGAAAUAUAAGUACUUUUUCAUCUUCUUAUUUUGAGAGAAAAAAAUCAUAUUUUCUGUAAUUUAUAAACCAUCAGAUGAAGUUUUAUUUUACCACAUAAACGCAACUAUGAAGGUUUUCGGGCCUCUUCCAGCAUCUCCUAGUGCUUUCCAAAGAUGUUCCUGACAGUCUGAGAGCAAGGUAUCAUGUAUCAUUCUUUCCACCAACAGAUGGAGAAACUGAAGCAUGAAGAGGUGACGCGAGGUCACCGAGGGAGCAGGUGAUGGACUGGCUUCUGGUCUCUUGCUCCAAACCCUGCUCCAAUUUGUCUUUCUUAUAAACAGCCAUUAAUAACUUUAUCUCCAGGCUGAAUGCUGCCAACCAGGACCCACAACGUGCUGAGCAUUUGUAUGCAAAUGAGCUCUCCACCAUCCUGGGGAGAACACAGGGUGCUGAACAGGAAUGGAGGAAGGAGAAAUAAUUGUUACUACUGGAGUCUAAAACGCCAUCCAAACCCAGACUCACAGUGAAAUUCCAGAAAUGAGGAAGUAAUGAGUGUUAAAUUCAAUAUCAUCAGUCAAUCCACUACUAACAGAUCAAGAUCCUAUAAACCUAAUGGCAGGACUUCCUAAACAUUUACUUUAUUUUUAUAUAUAUAUUUUUUGAGACGGAGUCUCAGUCUGCUCCCCAGGCUGGAGUGCAAUGGCAUGAUCUCGGCUCACUGCAACUUCUACCUCCCGGGUUCAGGUUCAAGCGAUUCUCCUGCCUCGGCCUCCCAAGUAGCUGGC
rnacentral:lncRNA from 10 species